rnacentral:sRNA from 1 species
UUUAUUUAUGUGUCUAUUAUUUCCUUUUACAAACCUAUUUGUUUUCUAAUGAGAGAAAGGAAGGAAGGAUGUGGAUUUGAGUGGGAAGAUGGGAGGAUCUUGGAGGAGUUGGCAGGAGCAACAGUUAGCAGUACAUAUUAAGUGAAAAAUAAAUGAUGGUCAAUAAAAGUUUUUAAAUAUCAACUCACAGCCUCCCCCAGAUAAUCUGGGUAUAUAGUUGAAAUCCCAGCAUGGGGAAGUAAAAGACCCCACAGGUUCCUGAGAACCACUUAGCCAGCCAGCCUCUCUUACAUCGGGGAUUUCUGAGCAGUAGGAGAUACUGUGUUCAAAACCAAGGUUGACAGUGCCUCAGAAACCAAGUUGAGAACAUUGUUCCCUGGCAUUCAUGUACAUGUGCAAGCAGGAGCACAUGUAUCCACACACAUAUAUCUGUACACACAUGAAAAACAUUCACAUACACAAAUUUUUAUGUCAAUGGUUGUUACUAAAUGGUCAGUUUUAAUAUAUAUUAAUAUUAAAUAUUUUAAUAUUUAAUAUAAUAGCACAAGCCAAAUUUGUUAAAUAACUUGAAUUUCUCAUUUUGAAAUAUUGGAAUGUAACCUAUUUUUCCCAGUUGUUUUUAGUUGAGCUCUCUGACAAAUUCUUGUCUGCUCUCAACUCAAGGCAAAAUUAAACUCUCCAAUCCCCUGCCCACUGGUUACAAACCAUGAAACUGUUUUUUUAAUUCCAGAAGUACUUUAGGAUCAUUUUGAUAUAGUCUCCCUAGUCCCAAAAAAAGCUGUUUACCAGGCCACUUUUUAGUAGCCAGAAAAUGCCUCUCUUGUGUUGACUUGCUAAGGCGCACGGCUACCGCAUAACAAAACUGAAGCUUUAUCCUUCCAUAACUCUCUUGUGCUUUUAUUCUCGACUUACUCUGUAGGUAUAUGAAGGGCUUUAAAAAAUAAAUCCUGUAUCUCAACCAGAGAGAUCUGGGUCUAACUGGUCUGAUAAACAGUCAGAUCAUUAAGAUCUUUUAAAGAUAAAAUCCUAUGAUCAUUCUAUGUGGCUGAGUUUGGGAAUAGUGUUAGCAGUCAUUUCCAAGUGAAUCUAUUAAAAGUGAGAAAAGCUAUGUAACAAUGAUGAUGAUGGUGAUGGUGAUGAUGAUGACAAUAAUAACAACAACAGCAGCAGUGAUGUGAAUGCAUUGUUUCAUGCCCUACGAGUGUUCGCAUACAAGGAAGGGAUGGUUUCCCUCCAUUAGUGCACCCUUGUGUCAUUCAGCCUAUGUGGCAAUUAGAAGGUGAUGGUGGAACCACUCUGUGUCUUUAUCAGAAACUUGGUGGUAGCAUGUGCUUACAAGCCAAGUUCACUGUGAUGGCAAAAGUUUCAGUUUUUCAUUCUUAAUUUCUUUCUCAUGUUUUAGGCCAUGAUUUCCUAACCAGAAUCCGUAGGAGAGAUUCCAAGACUUUGAGUGAAGAAAAUAGACUAGGAGUGAGUAGCCAUGACAAAUGAUCCUGAUUUUAAUUCACGGAACUUGAGUACGAUGUAUUUGCCCUCCUUGCAACCUUCUCAAAAUAGAACCACUUCCUCCAUCAUUCAAUGCUCAAAUG